rnacentral:rRNA from 1 species
GACGAACGCUGGCGGCGUGCUUAAAACAUGUAAGUCGAACGCAGUGGCGAACGGGGGAGUAAUACGAGGGUACCCUGCACUCCUUUUUGGGAUAAGCCUUGGACACGGGGUAUAAUACCGAAUAAAGUGGGAUGGGGUCGCGGCCUAUCAGGUUGUGGGUGGGGUGAUGGCCUACCAAGGAGGUGACGUGUAGGCGGCCGGAGAGGGUGCCCUGCAACAUUGGGACUGAGAUACGGCCGAGACUCGUACGGGAGGGAGCAGUGGGGGAGAUUGCACAAUGGGCGAAAGCCUGAUGCAGCGACGACGCGUGGGGGAUGCAGGCUUUCGGGUUGUAAACCUCUUUAGCUAUAGAACGGGUAGGUGGAGAAGAGGCGCCGGCUAACGACGUGCCAGCAGCCGCGGUAAUAC